CCUGUGUCAUCCGCCAUCUUGUGAGAAGCAAGGUGGCCUCCACGUUUCCUGAACGUCUUCUCCGCUUCUGCCUCGACCGCCCCUUGGUUACAGACAUGUCUCGGGAUCGGUUCCGAAGCCGGGGCGGUGGCGGUGGCGGCUUCCACCGGCGCGGAGGGGGCGGCGGCCGCGGCGGCCUCCACGAUUUCCGCUCCCCGCCGCCAGGCAUGGGCCUCAAUCAGAACCGCGGACCUAUGGGGCCCGGCCCGGGCCAGGGUGGUCCCAAGCCCCCGAUCCCGCCACCGCCUCCGCACCAGCAACAGCAACAGCCGCCGCCGCAGCAGCCGCCACCACAGCAGCCGCCGCCGCUUCAGCCGCCGCCGCACCAGCCACCGCCGCAUCAGCAGCCGCCGCCGCCUCCACAGGACUCGUCCAAGCCCGUCGUUUCUCAGGGGCCCGGCCCGGCUCCCGGAGUAGGCAACGCUCCCCCGGCUUCUGGUUCGGCGCCGCCCGCCACCCCCCCGACCUCCGGGGCCCCCACGGGGUCGGGCCCCACCCCGACCCCGCCGCCGGCCGUCACUUCGGCGCCCCCCGGGGCACCUCCGCCUGCGCCGCCGAGCGGCGGUGUCCCCACCACCCCGCCUCAGGCUGGGGGCCCGCCUCCUCCACCCGCAGGGGGCCCAGGCCCCGGACCUAAGCAGGGCCCGGGACCUGGCGGCCCCAAAGGCGGCAAAAUGCCAGGCGGGCCGAAGCCCGGCGGCGGCCCGGGCCUAAGCACCCCUGGCGGCCACGCCAAACCGCCGCACCGAGGCGGUGGGGAGCCCCGCGGCGGCCGGCAGCACCACCCGCCGUACCACCAGCAGCACCACCAAGGGCCACCACCGGGCGGGCCCGGCGGCCGCAGUGAGGAAAAGAUCUCGGACUCGGAGGGUUUUAAAGCCAACUUGUCUCUCUUGAGGAGGCCUGGAGAGAAAACUUAUACCCAACGUUGUCGGUUGUUUGUUGGGAAUCUACCUGCUGAUAUCACAGAGGAUGAAUUUAAAAGACUAUUUGCUAAAUAUGGAGAACCGGGAGAAGUUUUCAUCAACAAAGGGAAAGGAUUCGGAUUUAUUAAGCUUGAAUCUAGAGCUUUGGCUGAAAUUGCUAAAGCUGAACUUGAUGAUACACCGAUGAGAGGUAGACAGCUUCGGGUUCGAUUUGCCACACAUGCUGCUGCCCUUUCUGUUCGAAAUCUUUCACCUUAUGUUUCCAAUGAACUGUUGGAAGAAGCCUUUAGCCAGUUUGGUCCUAUUGAAAGGGCUGUUGUAAUUGUGGAUGAUCGUGGAAGAUCUACCGGGAAAGGCAUUGUAGAAUUUGCUUCUAAACCAGCAGCAAGAAAAGCAUUUGAAAGAUGCAGUGAAGGUGUUUUCUUACUGACAACAACUCCUCGUCCAGUCAUUGUGGAGCCACUUGAACAGUUAGAUGACGAAGAUGGUCUUCCUGAAAAACUUGCGCAGAAGAAUCCAAUGUAUCAAAAGGAGAGAGAAACUCCUCCUCGUUUUGCCCAGCAUGGCACAUUUGAGUAUGAAUAUUCUCAGCGGUGGAAGUCCUUGGAUGAAAUGGAAAAACAGCAACGGGAACAAGUUGAAAAAAACAUGAAAGAUGCAAAAGACAAAUUGGAAAGUGAAAUGGAAGAUGCCUAUCAUGAGCACCAGGCAAAUCUUUUGCGUCAAGAUUUGAUGAGACGCCAGGAAGAAUUAAGGCGCAUGGAAGAACUUCACAAUCAAGAAAUGCAGAAACGUAAAGAAAUGCAAUUGAGGCAAGAAGAGGAACGACGUAGGAGGGAAGAAGAGAUGAUGAUCCGUCAACGUGAAAUGGAAGAACAGAUGAGACGCCAAAGAGAGGAAAGUUACAGUCGGAUGGGCUACAUGGAUCCAAGAGAAAGAGACAUGAGAAUGGGUGGUGGAGGAGCAAUGAACAUGGGAGAUCCCUAUGGUUCAGGAGGCCAGAAAUUUCCACCUCUAGGUGGUGGUGGUGGCAUAGGUUAUGAAGCUAAUCCUGGAGUUCCACCAGCAACUAUGAGUGGUUCCAUGAUGGGAAGCGACAUGCGUACUGAGCGCUUUGGGCAGGGAGGUGCGGGACCUGUGGGUGGACAGGGUCCUAGAGGAAUGGGGCCUGGAACUCCGGCAGGAUAUGGUAGAGGGAGAGAAGAGUAUGAAGGCCCAAACAAAAAACCCCGAUUUUAGAUGUGAUAUCUAGGCUUUCAUUCCAGUUUGUUUUUGUCUUUUCUUGUUUAGAUACCAAUCUUUUAAAUUCUUGCAUUUUAGUAAGAAAGCUACCUUUUUAUGGAUGUUAGCAGUUUAUUGACCUAAUAUUUGUAAAUGGUCUGUUUGGGCAGGUAAAAUUAUGUAAUGCAGUGUUUGAAACAGGGGAAUUUUUCUUCCUUUUUUUCCUUUUUUCCUUUUUUUUUUAAACUGUAUAAUGUCCCUCAAGUUAUGGCAGUGUACCUUGUGCCACUGAAUUUCCAAAGUGUACCAAUUUUUUUUACUGUGCUUCAAAUAAAUAGAAAAAAAUAGUUAUGAUAUUGAUCUUCAACUUUGCCAUUCAUGCUUCUAUAGCACAUUAGGCUAGGUAUUCCACUUGGAAAGCAUAAGAGUGUCUAGGCCUUUGAAUGGCAUAUGCCAUUUCUGGGAAAUGUAUUUGUAGGCUGAGUAUUGCUUUCUACAUAUAAGUGCCCCCCUUGUUUUAAAAAGAAGAAAUGCACAUUGAAGUAGUUCCAUGAUUUGUUGGCGUUACAGGAAGCAAGCCGGUGCUAAGUAUUUUUAAAUGGCUAUGUAAGCAAAGCUGAUGAACUGUUAAUCUUCAUUCAGGAAUGUGUACAAGAUUAUAGAAUGGGUGUAAGAUUGUUGGUAGGGGGAGAAAGUGGGUAUGACUCAAAUGGAUCUUUUAUGGCCCUAUGAUCUAGCCUUUCCUUGAAAGUUUCUGAAGAAAAAGUGGAAAUAUCAUUUUGUUGCAUUCCUCCAUUCUUGUUUUUUAAAGAAUAAGUCCCAAGCCCUCCAAAUGGCUUGUAUCAAACUUUCACAUUUGAAUUAAAGAUUGUUAAACAUGAAGUCUUUUCAUGUAUUACUUCAAGUGAUUUAUAAAGAUGGAGUUUAGUCUGAAAAAUUAAACUCGGAAGUAAGUGGAGUAAUCAUAAAGUAGGUUUAGUUACAUACAAAUUUGUACUCUGUAACUUUUACAUCUCCUUGUGCUACUUCUGUUGGGCAAAAUCUGUAGGACUAUGAAAAACUUUAAGAGCUGGUGGUGACUCAUUAAUAAUAGGCUUACAGAGAACCAUUCUUACUGUGAAAUAUUUUUUUAACCAGUUUUUUUCAGUUUACUUUUGAUGUAGCACUAAAUCUGGAGAGAGUUGAUCAUGCUACACAGUACAAAUACUUCUUCCACCAUAAAGCUUUGGAGUGCUUCGAUGGUGGUGUCAGUUUAUCGCCAACUUCAUUGACUCUCCUUCCAUUGGAGCCAUUUUGACUUAAUAUUAAAGUAGAUUGUUACUGUUGUCUGUAGUACAGAGGGAAUCUGCUUCCCCAGUGUAUAUAUUGUUAGCAGAGGAACAACUUCCUAAAAGUAGUAGGUAAAGUAAUUGAAUGGUUUGGCUUUGUUCUUAGUUAUGUUUCCAUUCAAAUUUGUACAUUAUAGAACUCUUACUAUGGAAUGUGUCUUCCUCCUUUUCACCUCUGUUGGUGUUAAUUGGCAAAAGUAAAAUUCUAAAUCAACUCUUUGUUAAAAUGCUGAAGGCUUAGUAUUGUGCCUGAGUACAAAGGGAUACCUUUUGCUGAAACAAUUGAGCACUUUGUGCAUAGGAAACCUGAUAAUUCUAAAAGUAAAACUCUAGUGGAGUAUAAAGGCAUGCAACCAAAUUCUGGUUGUGUGACAGACAGGUAUCUGGUGUGCUAAUUAAGGGAGAAUCUAACUAGAAAAUGUUCAUUACUUUAUUCACCAAGACUCUUGGAAAUGGGUGGUUCGACCAUAAUUCUGUCAAUGAGGAAGUUUUGUCCCAAGUCAUUAAUUGGUGAUAAUGUAUGAGAUUUUUCUGUACCGUAAACAAGGGUCUUGAUUUGAAAGGAGUCCAUUACAAUUUGAUUGAAUUGUAUGGUAGGGACUCCACUAAUGAUAAGAAAAUAAGGGGUGUUCAUGGGACACCCACAGAGGGUGAACUUGAAUGUGUGUGGGUGGGGGCUGGUGGGAAAGUGGGAAAUCUGCCUAUAAAAUUAAUGUUUCAGUUUAUUUUUCAGAUUACAUGCCUUUCUUUAUAAGGGAUGCUGGCACAGACCCCUAAAAUAAGUUUUGGUAGUAUUGUACCUUUGAAGAGUGGUGAAGGAUGCUAAUGGAUAAUCUCCUGAAAGUUGUGGUUUUGAAAGCCUUAGACUGUGUAGAAUUGCUAAACAUUGUUUAGCAAAUAAUGUUGGCUUAGUUUCCACUAAGUAUUGACUUUUCAUCACUGAAACAGCAGUGUACCAAGGAUUGUAAGCUACUCAAAUAGACUUUCAACAAGUCUUGGAUAUGAUAGUUUUUAGCCUAAUGUGAAUUAAAUCAUCUUAAAAAGUAGUUUCCUAAAAGCUGAUUUAUGGAACUUGGGGUGGGAAAGGGAAGGUAGUACUUUUGAAGUAUUUUAGCCAUUUUUCUCAUUUAAAGAAAGACCUGCCCUCAUUUCCUCUUCUCUACUUUCUCUCAUAAUUUUGUUUUAAGAGGAACAGAUUGUUUUUAAACUUACUACUCCUGAUCUUUACAUUCUCUGAGAGAUCCCGGGGUAUUUAGUAGAUAUUUUAGAAACUUAACCCAUUGGCUUACCUUUAGUGAAACCAUAAUCCUCUUUGUUUAGCAAACUUCUAAGAGAAGUGCUAUAAACCACACCACUCUUUACUAGAUGUAUUAUACCACUAAUAUAAACAGAUAAUAAUUUGGGAAAUUGUAAUGUUACGCCUGUGCAAUUUUAUAAGUGGCAUAUUAUGGCAGAUAAAAAUCUAGAUACUUGGCUUUUCUUGGGCAAGCCACUAAGUUGUGGCAGAAUAUUUUCUGGUGUUCUUGGACUGCAAUUAUGCACUAUUAAAGUAGUGGCCUGCUACAUAACUGCAUUUAGCCAGCAUUUCUGCAGUGCGUAACUGUGAGGAACGUAGUACCGCAAAUGGCAAUGGACAUUAGGACCCGGAUGUAGUAUUCCUGCUUGCUCCGAGAUUCUCAUUGCCGACUGCAUACAGGUAGGUAACAAGCAAUAUAAUCUAACUUGGUGACUUGAUAUGUACUUUAUUCCGUGGGCAUUCUGACAUCAUACUUCUGACAAUGAAAUUACAGUGCAGCACCUAACACUUGUAUGAUAAAGCUAGCUUAUAUCAAAACUGCGUGGGUUUGGGUGUAGAGCUGUAAUCUGUCAGGCAGAAUUCAGUGUGUUGCAGUUCUCAGAUAAAAAGUGCAAACUGGAAUAUUUGGUACAUCUGAUUCAGUUGUGUGGUUUUCCUUAGUUGCAUUGUAACUGAAGAUAACAUGGAACACGUCAGUGGUGUGGGGGAGAGGGAACCAUACCAUACUUGGAAAGUAGAAUGCUUUCAGCAUCUUGACACAGAUUGUAGCAUGUGAUAAUUAGUCUCUCUUGUAGCAAACUGACCUGCCCAUGGGUCAGCAAUGUCGAUAAUUUCACAGUGUAACCUUGGUAAUUACUCUACAGGUUGAGUAAUUAAGAUGAAAAGUACAGUGGUUUUGUUUUUUUGUUUGUUUUUUUUUUUUUUUGCAGUGUGAUUUUAGAAAAUUUUUAAAAUGGGCUCUAGUGGGAACACUUUUGUUACUAACUUGGACAUAGAUGGGAAUCUAACAUGAAUAGUUAAAGCUCUGUGAUUUACCUAAAUACAUAUCUACUCUAAACCUGGGGAAAAGUGGUGUGGCAUGUUGACUUGCCUAUUGAAUCCAUGUUGGGAAUCAUUUCCCAAUCGUAAGACUUCGUCGUAUUCUGUAGGGUAACUGCAAAUGUUCAGAGUAGCUUUUUGAAUUUGGUUCCCUUAGCUUGAGGGAUGUGACGUUAUAAUCCAAAAUGUUUAAUUAUGAAAACAGUAGUAAGUCUUCAAAAGCAUCUUCCUUUGUUGCUUAGGAUUUAAACUUUGCAUCGACUGUUGUUCCAGACCUCAAUUCAGCUGAACUUUUUGGUCUAUGAACUGGUUUUUAGCUACCAUGCAUGAGAAACAGCUUUCAUAAUGUUUUCUGCUCUGUAACUGAGAAGUUUGGUUUACUUUGCAUAAAUAUUGGUGAAACUCUUCAUGACUGAGAAUUUUCUUUCAUUAUAUCAAGAAAAAUGACUUGCCUUUUGGCAAGCAGUUCACAAGGUGGGGACAAAUUUGUGCUUAAUAUGUAGUCCAUUCAACCAAGUGACUUGGUUCUCCUGCUAGGUAAAAGAGCAAAUGGUGACUAGUUUAGCUCUCUAUAUUAGUAACACAAUGCACAUCAAACAAUACUCAGUGACAUUCUUGACAUUCUGCAACCCUGAUAGGGUUUUUCCCAUGGGAUAAUCCAUUAUGGUGGCCAAUAAUUGCUACCAUGGUUCAGUGAUUGUUUAGAAAUAAAAGGUCAGAUUUAUUUCUUAACAGUCAGUAACAAUCUUGAGAGAAUGUACUUGUUAAAAUACAUAUAUGGACAUCAUUCGGGUGGGGGGUUAAUUUUGCUUCAUUCUACUUAUUUCAAGACGAAUAGGCUUUUGCACUUUCAAUGAGAAACCUGUGACUUAAGUUGAUUCUAACUAGGUUUGAUUUGUAAGUAGCUAUAAUUUGUGAAUCUUAGUGCAGAAGGUCUUUUUAAAAGAUCAGUCAAAAGGCUGGGGAUUAAGUGGGUUUCAGUAAUAACUCUAUACUGAGGUGCUUGCAUUGUAUUUCAUAGUCUUUUCUUAUUACAAACCAAAAUUACUAUUUUUAAUGAGAACGGUCUGAAGUUCAGAGGUGUGAUGCCAGAAUGUAUUUUCGUACUGUUAGGCCCUUGGAACAGAUACCGGUGCUUUAUGAAAGAUGAAAGAAAUGCAAUGGGUACUCUUCACAUAAGGUUGCAAAACCUACAAAGAAUGCUCAAUAGUCUCACUUUUCCCCAACGAACAGAUGCGUGUGACUAGUUUUGGACUUAUAACCUUAAUGGGGGUUGCAUGUUUCCUAUUGUUAAUCAUUGUCAGCUGCAGUGACAUGAUCCACAGUCCUGCAUUUACUGCCUUUCCCUUAAUGAUUUUGGACAGGUUCUAGAGAGCCGGGAUGUUUGCUCUGGGCCUUUACUUGGUUUUGGCUUUAGCUGAUACUGUUUCAGUGCUCUGUCAGCUAGUGCAGUUCCCAAAUGGCUGCCUCUUAGGGAAAGAACUCAGAGGAUUUGGCUGCUCCUAAUCAUCUGUCAUUGCUGCUAGAUAAUGAUUGGCAAUUUUUAAGACUCAACUGUGGAAAUCUCACAGUUGUUGGUAAACCAUCAAACAUAAAAAUGUUGCUUUUGAACACCAGUGCUGAAAAGAUUUUAUUUGGAGGGUGAAAAGGGGGAUGGAAGGCAGAAUAGAAUAAUCUGGAGAAUGGAGGAAGAAUGCAAAACGAUAUAGUAUCCCUUAUGGAUGGUACAUGUGCAACAGGGAACUGUUUCAUAUACCCUUGGCAGUCACUGAUAAUCAGGAAGGAAGAAAAACCUGGAAUUUGAGUUAAGGCUGAUCUUUCUGGUUUUUGUGCACUGUGGCCCUGCCAGAGAUAAUAUAGUGAAGGUGAAUGUCUUCUCCCUCAGAAAAAUUCAGGUUCCUUGCUGUCCUGAUAAGGCAUAGCUUCCCUGCCCUAAGUUAAAAACUCAGUGAGGACUUAAGAGGGAAAGAAUGAGGCCAAUACAUAGGAGUGCAGAUAACAACUGCAUUGUUGUGUACUGUGGAAUGGGGAGGGCACUCUUGGAGGACUCCUGCUGAAGGUGGUCAGUCCACCUGAGAAUGGAAGACAUACUUGGUGGGGAGCAGGGUAUGUGCUUUUAUAUGAAAAGAGCCGAUGUUAAAACUCAUUUGGUGAGGUAAACGUUGUCACAUACCUUCACAUAAGGGAUAGUAUAUUUUGGGUUGCAGUCAAACUUCAUUGUGCUCAGACUGGUGAAAAUAGUAGUUAGGCUUUUGUGUUUUAAAAGAAGAAACAGCUCUCAUUCCAAUUCAGGUGUCUACAACUACCUUACGUCAGAAUGAUUUUAGAUUUUUUUUCCCCCCCAUAAAGUUUCUUCCUAUUUUUUAUGCUGUAACUUGCCCCCCAAUCUUUGUCUCUGGAAUUUUACUCUUCAAAUUUUGAAAUUAACUAGCAUUUUCACAUCUUUUUGCCCUUGUCUUUUAUAUUAACUUUUUCUUAUUAUUCUUUAGGUAAGAAUGAUUGAUGUUGGCUGAUACUGGAGUGUUCAUUCACUUGAGGUGGGUAAAAUAAUUGUUUUCAAGACAUCACACAGCAUGAAGUGAUCAAGAAAAGCCACAACCUGUUUAGACUGAUGAAGCUUCUAGGAUCAGGUGAACUGUGUCAUGAAAACCAGUGAGGAAGAAGGCAAAGAGGAAUAAACAGCCUGUCUUUUAAUAAAGACAUUUAAAAAGUCA